AAGUGCUCCCGGCUGGGCCGCAGCCAGAGGCACGGGAGAUGAGCAGGGUUUGCAAACCCGAGGUUCGCAAACACGGUUCCCAGCGGCGGCUGGCAGAGGGGGCCCUUGUCUGCUGCUCAAGGUUCUGGGUCACCUGCACCACCGCCUCCCACCUGAGCUCCUUGGGUCUUGCUCAUCGAUCCCCACACCGCCACCUGUCCCCAGCUUGCCCAGGAGAGGGUGAGGCCUGCAGCACACGGCUCCACACCUUGGGGAGGGACCUGCUCCAGGCCCCGGGCAGCACAGGAGUGCUCUGCUAUCCGCCCGAGAUGCCAAGGACAUGCCAGCACACGUGUGUGUGCUGUCCUUGCUUGAGUCCUGGUUGCUGGCUCGAGGCCCAUGGUCAUGUGUGUGGAGGGGCCGCCCCGCGUCUGGGCCACUCUCUGCCCGUGCCUUCACGGGGCUCCUGUACUUGCUGCAGGACGAGAAGAAUCAGAUGAUGACAACGAAUGUGUGGGUGAAGCAAG
rnacentral:lncRNA from 1 species